rnacentral:rRNA from 1 species
UACGGGGGGGGCAAGCGUUGUUCGGAAUUACUGGGCGUAAAGGGCUCGUAGGUGGCCAACUAAGUCAGACGUGAAAUCCCUCAGCUUAACUGGGGAACUGCGUCUGAUACUGGAUGGCUUGAGUUUGGGAGAGGGAUGCGGAAUUCCAGGUGUAGCGGUGAAAUGCGUAGAGAUGUGGAGGAACACCGAUGGCGAAGACAGCCUUCUGGGCCAACACUGACGCUCAUGCACGAAAGCGUGGGGAGCAAACAGG